rnacentral:rRNA from 1 species
AGCAGCCGCGGUAAUUCCAGCUCCGAUAGCGUAUAUUAAAGUUGUUGCAGUUAAAAAGCUCGUAGUUGAAUUUCGGGGUCAAUACGUCGGUCGUGCCUCGGUACGCACUAACGUUAUUGAUUCCUCCCUUCUGACGAACCGUGAUGUCAUUAAUUUGGUGUUGCGGGGAAUCAGGACUGUUACCUUGAAAAAAUUAGAGUGUUUAAAGCAGGCAAUCGCUCGAAUACAUUAGCAUGGAAUAAUGAAAUAGGACGUUCGAACCUAUUUUGUUGGUUUCUAGGAUCGACGUAAUGAUUAAUAGGGAUAGUUGGGGGCAUUAGUAUUCAAUUGUCAGAGGUGAAAUUCUUGGAUUUAUUGAAGACUAACUACUGCGAAAGCAUUUGCCAAGGAUGUUUUCAUUAAUCAAGAACGAAAGUUAGGGGAUCGAAGACGAUCAGAUACCGUCGUAGU